GCCGAAGUGGCGGAAUUGGCAUACGCGCACGGCUUAGAACCGUGUGGAGCAAUCCUUGGAGGUUCAAGUCCUCUCUUCGGCAC
rnacentral:tRNA from 1 species